GGCCGUGUGGCUCAAUGGCAGAGCGUCUGACUACGAUAAAGCGUCUCCUCUAAGCAGUCGCUUGGUGUCUAUCAGAAGGUCGCAGGUUCGACCCCUGUCUCGGUCA
rnacentral:tRNA from 1 species